rnacentral:rRNA from 1 species
GAUGAACGCUGGCGGCGUGCUUAACACAUGCAAGUCGAACGAUGAAGCCCAGCUUGCUGGGUGGAUUAGUGGCGAACGGGUGAGUAACACGUGAGUAACCUGCUCUUAAUUCUGGGUUAAGUCUGGGAAACUGGGUCUAUUACCGGAUAGGAGCGUCCACCGCAUGGUGGGUGUUGGAAAGAUUUAUCGGUUUUGGAUGGAUUCGCGGCCUAUCAGCUUGUUGGUGGGGGAAUGGCUCACCAAGGCUGCGACGGGUAGCCGGCAUGAGAAGGUGACCGCGCACACGGGUACUGAGAGAGGGACCAGACGGCAACGGGAGGCAGCAGGGGGGAAUAUUGCACAAUGGGCGCAAGCCUGAUGCGGAGACGCCGGGUGAGGGAUGACGGCCUUCGGGUUGUAAACCUCUUUCAGUAGGGAAGAAGCGAAAGUGACGGUACCUGCAGAAGAAGCACCGGCUAACUACGUG